GGCUUCAUAGCUCAGUUGGUUGGACCAUCGCACCGGUAUCGCGAGGAUAUGGGUUCAAACCCCUUUGAAGUCC
rnacentral:tRNA from 1 species